GCCAGGCAUGGUGGCAUGUGCCUGUAGUCCCAACUAUUCAGGAGGCUGAGGUGGGAGGAUCGCUUGAGCCCAAGGAGGUCAAGGCUGCAGCUAGCUGUGAUUACACCACUGCACUCCAGCCUGGGCAACAGAGCGAGACCCUGUCUCAAAAAAAAAAAAAAAAAACAAAGUCUUGCUCUGUCGCCCAGACUGGAGUGCAGUGGUGCAAUCACAGCUCGCUGCAGCCUUGACCUCCUUGGGCUCAAGUGAUCCUCCGGC
rnacentral:lncRNA from 1 species